GUCUAAUGUGAGACAGGAUAAGCACAAAAGUCUUCAGCUGGCAAAGUACUAUGGCAGACGCUGUGAUUCUUCACUUCUUUCUGGAUUGAACUGCCCUAUUAUGUACACUUGCAGCAAUUCCCAGCAAGGAAUGGAAUCUGUUUCCCCACCUCUUGAGUCUGGACUGGUCCAAUGACCUGAUUUGACGAAAAGAAUGAAGUGGGAGUGACCAUGUGCCAGUUCUGAGCCUAGAUUUCAAGAAACCCACUCUGUUGGAAUCCUCUUGCUGCCAUGUGAGUAAGCCUGUGUAAGCCUGCUGGACAAUGAGAAACACAGAGCCUAGUUGCGGCAUUAACCCAGCCGACAGCCAGAAUAUCCUGCAGCUCACCAAAGAUGCUAAGGGAGUCCAGGUGAGAAAUCUGAGAAUCAGAGAACUUGCUAAGAGCACACUACAAGGAAGCCAUGAGAAUGCUCCCCGGUAUCCGCUAUCAAGAGGGAUACAUGUCGUGGCUAACCAGCCCACAUCGAAAGCUCAUCUGAGGUUCGCAUACUUCUUUUCAUUACACCAUUAGCCAACUGUUGACAAAAAAUGGGUCCAAAUUUAAGCUUAAAAAAAAUAUGGUCCUUCCAAAUCUUGAUUGUAUGUGUGGAGAAGAACACGGAUGUUGAGGAAAUGGGGCAGCAAGUAAAAACAACUGUUUGAAGAGUUUUGUUUUAAAAAGAGUGCAACAGGGACCAACCCAGUGGUUAAGUUCACUUCGGUGGCCUGGCGUUCACAGGUUCGGAUACCAAGCACGGACCUACACACCGCUCAUCAAGCCACACUGCGGCAGCAUCCCACAUGCAAAAAACAAAGGAAGAUUGGCACAGAUGUUAGCUCAGCCACAACCUCCCUUACCGAAAGAAAAAAGAAAGGGUGCAAAAAAAAUAAAGCAAAAGGUGGAG
rnacentral:lncRNA from 1 species